ensembl:lncRNA
GGGGAAUAAGGUUCAAGGCCUCUUCAGAUAUUGCACCCCUCGGUAUGCGGAGUGAGGUAAGCACCUAGCAGUAUUUAAGUGUUUUGUAGAGUUGAGGUGUAUGUUUUUUGUUCUGUCUAACUUAUCGCAAUAGCGCUAAACCCACCUGCUUUAAGGCACGUAGCUUGUAUUGCUAGGUAAAAACGUUAAGCUUGUUAUAUAUGAACUUGUGGAAAUUAUAAGCAUGUAUUUUUUGUAUUUUCUGUAUCUUAUAGUUUUCACGGUGCUCGUGAGAGUGUUCAGCAAGCUGAAUAAAAUAAAGCACCCGUUUAGAGACUCUGCGUUGCUUCAUGAAGCCAAGGGCUGCUACAUAUUUCAUGUUAAAACAAGAAAACAUGACAUGAAAGGUGGAUGUUGAACUGACUGAAGGUACCAAACAUCCAACGCACACAACAAAGAUCAAAGUCGAGGACCAGCACUAACUAAUUACCAAGAACACUAAACUCUCUGAAUCUGUAAAUGCUAAGCUCCAUAGAGAUCAAGGGGGAAAUGCUUGGUUCUUCAUUUCUAUAAUUAUUUAUAUUUAUUUUGUGUUAAAGUAGAAGAGGAGAUGUUUCAGGCGAUGGACCCAGAUGACCAUCUGGACACAGAGAUUGAAUAUCUGGGUAAGAAACAAAUAAGAAACAAAUACAAUAACAAGUUACAAUCACAGAGAUAUCACUUUAAAAAUAUUCAUUUAUAAUGAAAUACUGCAAGAUAUUUGUUCAUUUGUCUAAAAUAAAGCUGUUUACAUGGUUGUUGAUUUGUACCAUGGUGAUAUUUAAUUUUGUUAAAGCUGAAGACGAAACGACAGAGGCAACACUCACGGAAGUCGAAGCUAUUAAAGAACUAAUGCUCCUUUUCAUUGAGAAGAUCGAGGCCGAAUCGCUGGGAUGUGACGUGAUGAGCUCUGCAGAUACUGAGGCUGAAGCCUCAACACACAACAUGCAGACCCAUCUGGAUGAAACUGACCCAUCUAAUGACCAACUGCUGGAUGUGGAAAAGAACUCAAAUGGCAAAGCAGUUUGGAACACCAUUAAAGGUCUGAUGGUAGAUCUGCUUUAUGAUGUCCAGAGAACAGUUGACCAGAGUCUCGGUGAGUAAAAGAAACAUAGAUAUUAAGAACAUUAGAAGCUAUACAGUUGCUAAGUCUUUCAAAAUCUGAAGCAGGAAAUGAGUCGCACAAGGACGCUGACAUAGAAGUUGAGAAUGAUGACAUAAACAAACUGACGGACACUCAGCUGGACGACACAAAGACUACUUUCAAUCAAGCCCUUGGUACGUAAGACAAACCAUAAUAUAUUAAGAACGAAGAGGUUAAACUCUGACUAAGAAACCAAAAGACCUACUUCAAAUGUCACACGAACAUUCAAAAACUGAAAUAAUCAAAUCUCUUUUUUAUUGGAAAAUCCGUUUUAUUGCAGGAAAAGACGGGAAUGACAGUUGAUCCUGUACCCAUUAAAAGUUGGGCUGAUAUGGUGGAUAAGACUGAAGGAAACAUCAACCAGACUGGUGAGUAAAAUGUACAGAUGCCACUGAUCUGAUACGGGUGUCUGUAUCUGUAAUUAAACAAAUGUUAACAACUUUAAUCAUUGAAAUAUUAGGCACAAAUUCUUCCAGGUUAGAUUACUGGAGAUGAGCUUUGGUGCUGAUUUCUCUGAUUUUCUUUCUACCAGCUGAAAUUGAAGCAUUGAAGAAAGACACUCCUGAGAAUGAGACCAAAAGAGAUAAAAAAAGAAGAACACCAGGAGAGGAACAUGCGGCAAGGGUCGAAAAAUAAAUUACAAAAAGGACCAAGAAGAAAAAAAAUCAUGUAGAUGAAGAGAACAGCAUGACACCAUCAAAAGACAGAGGCAUCACAUCAGUGGAGACAUGAACUAGGAUAUGGAAUGAGAAGAACACAGACAGAGAACUCAGCACCUGAAACUGAUCCUCAUCAGCAGAGGAGGGCACAGAGAAAGGAGGCGAGGCGAGAAACAUAUCAUUGGACAAGAGAACAUCUGUAGAAGAUCCUACAAGCCCCUCCUGAGGAAAAGAGUGCUCCACAGAAAGACAUCAGUUAGAAGGGAGAAGUGACUACGGCUAAAAUCAGGCAGAGAGACAGAGGAACCCAUUCGGUCGGACGCAGAACUGAUGACUAUGGCUGGAGAUGAGCUGCCCAGUGCUGGAAGACAGAAUCCAGAUUCCAGAGGAGAGACGCUCCACAAACUCCUUCAUGCAACGGAGGAUGUGUGAGCGAAAGAAGAAUGAGAGGAAAUCCUGCUCAGUCUGCUCCUGCAUGCACACAUUGACAGAAAUGACUGGACACUGAAAACACCACACUGGUGGCAGCAUGAUGACCGCUCUGCAUGAUGACCCUGAUGAAAUACAGACUGCAGAGAGACACCAGAAUAAGAAAUGGAGGAAUGGAAACAGGCAGUGGAAGAGUGGGAGAAGAACUGAUGCUUAAUACUGACCACUGAAGAAAACCUUUAGAGCAGCCUGAGAAUUAAGUCAGUGGAGACAUCAGCAAGGAUUUGGAAAAAGAAGAACAGUCAGAGAACUCAGGAACCUGUGAAAGAGCACCUGAAACUGAUCCUCAUCAAUAGAGGAGGGCACAGAGAAAGGAGGAUAGGAGACAAAUACGUUAUUUGAAAGCAGGACAUCUGCAACCUCUCCUGAGGAAAAGAGUGCUCCACAAAAUGACUGCAGAAAGAACAGAGAAGAACACAGCUAGAGAAGUCCAAAAUCUGUGAAAGAGCACCUGGAACUGUUCCUCAUCAGCAGAGAAGAAUAUCCCUCCUGAGGAAAAGAGUGCUCCACAGAACGACUGCAGAAAAAACAGAGAAGAACACAGCUAGAGAACUCCCGAACCUGUGAAAGAGCACCUGAAACUGAUCCUCAUCAGCAGAGGAGAACAUCCCUCCUGAGGAAAAGAGUGCUCCACAGAGAGCCAUAAUCAUCACUCCACAGAGCUGAUACAGACUUUUAACUCUACUUUUAUGCUACAGCCAAUCAAAUACAUCUCUUGGACAGCAGCCCCACUGGAGUGAAAUAAGCAGUACAACACUUUUCAACCUCUAAAACCAAUAAAAGUCUUUCAGAAGACUCUUUUGGAGCCUUUCAUUAGUCAGGGUUUUGCUUUUCUAACGCAGUUUCAGCCAUUUUAUUGAAUAAUCUGAAGGCUGCAAUCAAUUCAGUGGAAAGUGUAAACUAGUGCCUACAAAGCGCAGUUACAGUACACAGAGUACUAAGUGGAUGAGGAACAGGUGGAUUCCACUAUUCCACUCUGAGCUUCACUCAGGGAUCCUCUACAUUCCUGUGCUUGUUGAUAAGGGUGGGCAAUACGAUAACAUCUAGUGUUAUUGUGAUAAUAUUUGUCAAAUUAUGUUUUGAGAUGUCAACUGUUUUCAGUUCUCAUGACUCAAAAAAUAACAGCAAAUGGCCUUAAUGGCAUCCCCAAUGUCCCAUUCCUGGGACAGGACACUAGUGUUUAUGUCACUAAGGUAUGUAAAAUAGGAUCUGGGUCCCUGAGAAAGCUGACCAUGACACUAUCUAAGGCACUGAGAACACUGACUUUUGUUACAUUGGUACCAAGGGUCCUGGUGGGGGUCAGUGGCAAAGUCAAACAGUGUGUGUCAUCAGAAUAAAUUAAAUGCCAAACACAACAGGUUCAGUUUGGGUUUUAUUUUGUGUUUUGGUCAGUGAAUGUAAUCAUGAGCCAUAGGCAGUGAAG